CGGGCUGCGCGGACUGCCCAGCCUCGGAGGGGAGGGAAGACCGGUGGCCCGGCGCCUCCACGCGUCACGGGGAAAACGUGAGCCGGCAUCCGCUUCUGCUUGUCCACUCUGUGCUGUGCAGUCCGCCUCUGUCCUUCUGUCUGUCUGCCGGUCCAUGCAUCUGUUGAUGGACACGUGCCCCUGUCACUGUCCUCUGUGAGAUUUCUCUGAGAUCCUGUGAUCCUUUGCAAGCGUCAGGUGCCAGGGUCGCCUGUGUCCCCGAGCGCCCCAGCCGGAGGCAGGUCCCUGCUUUCUAUAGAGUCUCCCCUCCCCCUUCUGAAUGGCUGGGGGGACUGCGUCCUGGGCAGCGUCCUCCGAGGGACUGCUCCCGGGGUCAGGCUGUGGAGUCCAGCGGGCAGGGAGCCGCUCACACUGUGUACCAGUGGGCGUGCACCUGGCAACAGGUCUGCGCCCUGCUGCUUGGUCUCAGCACGGUAUCCUCUCUGCUCCCCGCUCCGCCUCUUGAUGCUGGCGCGCUCCCGGACAGUGCUGGGCACCCAGCGUGGUGCUGGCACGAGACCGGUCGAGGCAAUUGAACGUUAGGUGACAUGAGGGCCCCUGCGGAGGUUUACACUGAGAUUCCAAACCCGGCACCACUGGAAGAGGAUUCGGUGGUCCCUGGCGAGGGACGUCGGCCCCAAGAAGGGUCAAAUUAGUCUGGGAGGAAAGGCAGGGAUCUGGCCAGGUCUCCAGCUCGCUGCUCUGGGAAUGAGGGCCAGAGACACUCUGGAUCGGACCCGGCAGGACGCAUGUGCUGUUGAGAAAGGAGCUCAGUGCGCCGAGGUCCUCAACCGCAGACUCGCUCUCAGCGCCCUCAGCGACCGCCGCCGUUCCCCAAGGGUCCAGCACUAUGGCCGUCGCAGGCACGGCGCCAGCAGCCGGGUUUGAGGUCCUGACUCCUGCUCCGUGCAGCCAAGGCUGCCCACAGGGACUCCAUCUCCGGUUUAUUUUCACGAAAGACCUUGAUGGAACCGAUAAAAAGAGCUGAAGUUGAUCAAAAUGCCAAAAUGAAAUCUAAUUCAUAGAUAAAUGGAAGAAUUUUUGUGUGAGAUGAAUCAGUCGCCUGUUUUUCCUACCCGCACCACUUGGAGGCACGAUAAAAAGAUCAGAAGUAAUCUUAGCUCCCUCCAUCUGAAAGGAGUGAAGCCACAGGAUGCAGUCCACAGGUGCUGGGAAUCUCUGCAACUUAUCUACCCAGCGAUGUGA